rnacentral:misc_RNA from 1 species
GGAAGUAAAAGUCGUAACAAGCUUUCCGUAGGUGAACCUGCGGAAGGAUCAUUAAAGAGAAUAUGCCCUUCGGGGUAGAUCUCCCACCCUUUGUUUAUAUUACCUUUGUUGCUUUGGCAGGCCCGUCUUCGGACCACCGGCUUCGGCUGGUCAGUGCUUGCCAGAGGACCCAAAACUCUUAUUAUUAAUGUCGUCUGAGUACUAUAUAAUAGUUAAAACUUUCAACAACGGAUCUCUUGGUUCUG